GAUGAACGCUAGCUACAGGCUUAACACAUGCAAGUCGAGGCUUAGCAUGGUCUUAGCUUGCUAAGGCCGAUGGCGACCGGCGCACGGGUGAGUAACACGUAUCCAACCUGCCGUCUACUCUUGGACAGCCUUCUGAAAGGAAGAUUAAUACAAGAUGGCAUCAUGAGUCCGCAUGUUCACAUGAUUAAAGGUAUUCCGGUAGACGAUGGGGAUGCGUUCCAUUAGAUAGUAGGCGGGGUAACGGCCCACCUAGUCUUCGAUGGAUAGGGGUUCUGAGAGGAAGGUCCCCCACAUUGGAACUGAGACACGGUCCAAACUCCUACGGGAGGCAGCAGUGAGGAAUAUUGGUCAAUGGGCGAGAGCCUGAACCAGCCAAGUAGCGUGAAGGAUGACUGCCCUAUGGGUUGUAAACUUCUUUUAUAAAGGAAUAAAGUCGGGUAUGCAUACCCGUUUGCAUGUACUUUAUGAAUAAGGAUCGGCUAACUCCGUGCCAGCAGCCGCGGUAAUACGGAGGAUCCGAGCGUUAUCCGGAUUUAUUGGGUUUAAAGGGAGCGUAGAUGGAUGUUUAAGUCAGUUGUGAAAGUUUGCGGCUCAACCGUAAAAUUGCAGUUGAUACUGGAUAUCUUGAGUGCAGUUGAGGCAGGCGGAAUUCGUGGUGUAGCGGUGAAAUGCUUAGAUAUCACGAAGAACUCCGAUUGCGAAGGCAGCCUGCUAAGCUGCAACUGACAUUGAGGCUCGAAAGUGUGGGUAUCAAACAGGAUUAGAUACCCUGGUAGUCCACACGGUAAACGAUGAAUACUCGCUGUUUGCGAUAUACAGCAAGCGGCCAAGCGAAAGCGUUAAGUAUUCCACCUGGGGAGUACGCCGGCAACGGUGAAACUCAAAGGAAUUGACGGGGGCCCGCACAAGCGGAGGAACAUGUGGUUUAAUUCGAUGAUACGCGAGGAACCUUACCCGGGCUUAAAUUGCAGAUGAAUUACGGUGAAAGCCGUAAGCCGCAAGGCAUCUGUGAAGGUGCUGCAUGGUUGUCGUCAGCUCGUGCCGUGAGGUGUCGGCUUAAGUGCCAUAACGAGCGCAACCCUUGUUGUCAGUUACUAACAGGUUCCGCUGAGGACUCUGACAAGACUGCCAUCGUAAGAUGUGAGGAAGGUGGGGAUGACGUCAAAUCAGCACGGCCCUUACGUCCGGGGCUACACACGUGUUACAAUGGGGGGUACAGAGGGCCGCUACCACGCGAGUGGAUGCCAAUCCCAAAAACCUCUCUCAGUUCGGACUGGAGUCUGCAACCCGACUCCACGAAGCUGGAUUCGCUAGUAAUCGCGCAUCAGCCACGGCGCGGUGAAUACGUUCCCGGGCCUUGUACACACCGCCCGUCAAGCCAUGGGAGCCGGGGGUACCUGAAGUGCGUAACCGCGAGGAGCGCCCUAGGGUA
rnacentral:rRNA from 1 species